rnacentral:lncRNA from 1 species
AAACCCCGAACCCGAAACCCCACAGACCAGCCGGAAGUCCGGUCCCGCCCGCUUCCUGUGCGUCAGCGCGGCCGCCGUAGCAAUGCGCGCAUGCUCACCAGCCUUUCUCUCGGACCCGGUAGUGGUCCGUGAAGUCCGCGGAGUGGGCGCUGAUGGUGGGGCUAUCCCUUCCCACUGUCCGCGAGGUGCGCCGUGGUAACGCGCGGGGACACAGCGCGGGUGUGGACCCCCUGCCCACAGCUGGCGCACAGCCAUUGAGUGUAGACCCGACUGGGGCACGACCACUGAACCCUGCACUUGGCGUCCUCCGGGCCCCGCGAGGGGCCUUGCUGGGCGGGUCCGCGGCACCCCGGGUUCCCAGAAGUCGAGGCCCCGAAUGCGCCUCCCCUCGCCUGGAAUCGGAGAGCGGAGGGCUCCUGCGGGCAGGUGGCCGUGCUCCGAAGAGCGCCCUGCCACCCAUGAGGUGGCCCUGGGGGCGUCGCUAGCCUUCCCAGCUGGGUGUCCUCAUCCGGAGACACAAACACCUGCCUCAGGAUUAAAGCGAGGAGCUGUAUUUCAGACCGUCUCAGGAGAAAUAGCAAGAGGCUG